UACAGAGGUCCCGAGCGUUGUUCGGAUUCAUUGGGCGUAAAGGGUGCGUAGGCGGCGGGGCAAGUCUGAUGUGAAAUCCCGGGGCUCAACCCCGGAACUGCAUUGGAUACUGCCUUGCUAGAGUACUGGAGAGGGAACUGGAAUUUACGGUGUAGCAGUGAAAUGCGUAGAGAUCGUAAGGAAGGCCAGUGGCGAAGGCGAGUUCCUGGACAGUUACUGACGCUGAGGCGCGAAAGCUAGGGGAGCAAACGGG
rnacentral:rRNA from 1 species